AUUGAACGCUGGCGGCAUGCUUUACACAUGCAAGUCGAACGGUAACAGGGAGCUUGCUCCGCUGACGAGUGGCGAACGGGUGAGUAAUGCAUCGGAACGUACCCAGUCGUGGGGGAUAACGUAGCGAAAGUUACGCUAAUACCGCAUACGUCCUGAGGGAGAAAGCGGGGGACCGUAAGGCCUCGCGCGAUUGGAGCGGCCGAUGUCGGAUUAGCUAGUUGGUAGGGUAAAGGCCUACCAAGGCGACGAUCCGUAGCGGGUCUGAGAGGAUGAUCCGCCACACUGGGACUGAGACACGGCCCAGACUCCUACGGGAGGCAGCAGUGGGGAAUUUUGGGACAAUGGGCGAAAGCCUGAUCCAGCCAUGCCGCGUGAGUGAAGAAGGCC
rnacentral:rRNA from 1 species